CCCAGAGAAAUGAGAAAGGAGGAGGCAGUGAGAUGGAUGAAGGUGGAAGUUCUGAGCAUUUCUCCUAUCAAAAGAGACCGGAGCACACCAGUGAAGAGAGUUCAGAUGUAGAUGAAGAGAGCAAGGAAGCAAGA